rnacentral:misc_RNA from 1 species
GUGGGAGGGGGCUUGCCCCCGAUUGCGGUGUGUCAGUCUGAAUAUUUUUGACUGAUCCACUGCUAUCGGGGGCAAGCCCCCUCCCAC